UUCCUACGGGAGGCAGCAGUGAGGAAUAUUGGUCAAUGGGCGGAAGCCUGAACCAGCCAAGUCGCGUGCAGGAUGACGGCACUACGGGUUGUAAACUGCUUUUAUACGGGAAUAACGCGCCUUACGUGUAGGGCUUUGCAUGUACCGUAUGAAUAAGGACCGGCUAAUUCCGUGCCAGCAGCCGCGGGAAUACGGAAGGUCCGGGCGGUAUCCGGAUUUAUUGGGUUUAAGGGGAGCGUAAGCCGCAUGUCAAGCGUGCUGGCAAAUGUCCGGGCUCAACCCGGGCCUUGCAGCGCGAAGUGGCG
rnacentral:rRNA from 1 species